rnacentral:lncRNA from 1 species
CCUGUUUUAUCUCAUCAUCAACAACAUAAUUAAGCUAACAAUUACAAAUACAUGCUAAAAAUUACAAAUUAUUUACCAACUCAUCAACAAUUACAAAUAUAAACUAAUGUUCCAUAAAUUAUACAUAUGAUUUACAAAACUCGUACAAACUCAACUAGACUACAAUAUGUACAAAUAAAUAAAAUGAAUACAAAUGAACUAUAAACUAGUAGGAAGAUCGGGCGGGGGUGGACGACAAUACUGGUUUGGUGUAUAAAAAUCAGUGGCGUCGACCCCCCGGUCCCCAUCGCCAUCACCAUCACCAGUUCACUCGCCAUCGCCACCCUGUUGAUAGAAUUAAAAAUAAAAAUCAUUAGUUCAUAUAUAUUUGAGAAUUAAAGAGACUGUUAAAUGAAAAUAACAUAAACAUGCAGAAUACCUGAGUAGGCGGGGGCUGACGAAAAAUCUGCUUUAGAAGGGUAAUCACCAUCCGGAGUAUCUCGCCUCUUAACACGACGAACUACUCAUGCGGCAAUCUCGUACUGUCUACGGUGGCCCCUAUUAGAACCUCCUGAGCGAGUUGGUUAAGACGAGAACUGCUAGGCAAUUGUUGACAAAGAAAAAUAAAAUCGGUAUGGAACCUAUCUGACACCGCGGCUAUCAGCCUCUGGAAUAACUCGUCGUCCAAGCCAGCUCCUGUAUAAGAUGGUCCAACAAUUGCUCUCGGACGCUGGCGCUGGCAAGAGUCUGUGAAAAUAUAUAUAACAUUACUAAUAAUAAUUUAUAUUAUGUUAAUUAUGAUAAUUUCGUGAAAUAAAAAAAAUAUUAUUACCUUCAUUUACCUUUAUUUUAUUUUAUUUAUUUGUAAUGCAUUAUAUUAUAUUAUUUAUUUUCAUUAAUUUAUUUUAUUUUUGGACAAUUUAUUUUAUUUAAAUAAUUUUUUGAUGUUAAUUUAUUUUAUUUUAACAGAUUUGAUGUUAAAUAUAUGAAUUGAUUUUAUUAUGUAUUAUAUUAUAUUAUAAUUUUUAAUUUUUUUAAUUUUUAUUUAUUAAAUUUAUUUUUAUUAUAAUUUUUUAUUUUUAUUAAAUUAAAUUAAAUUUAUUUUACGUUAUUAUAUUAUUUGAUUUAUUAUUAAAUUUAUUUGACAUUAUUAUAUUAUUUGAUCUAUUAUUAAAUUUUUUAUUAUAUUAUUAAAUUUAAUUUAAUCUAUUAUUAAAUUUAUUUUAUUUAUUAAAUUUAAUUCUUUUUAUUAUUAUGUUUUAUUGUAUUGUAUUGUAUUUUGUAUUAUAUUAUAUAUAUUUUUAAUUUUUUAUUAAAUAUAAUAUACUUUAAAUUAAAUUUAUUUUAUUUUAUUUUAUAUAUUUAAUUAUUAUUUUCUAUUUUAUUUUGUAUUAUAUUGUAUUAAUUAUCUAAUUUUUAAAUUUUAUUUUAUUUUAUUAAAUUUAAUUUAUUAGUAGGAAACUAAGUAUAGGCUACUUAAUUUAUUUCUAUAUUGGAAACUAAUUAAAAUACAUAAAUAAAAUAAAGCUGGACCCACAGAUUUUGCAAUUGAAUAAUUCUAACAGAAUUUUCAUCGGAAAUUCCGUCGUAAAAAAAAAAAAUCAAUCAAAAGAGACAAAAUCAUCUCAAUCCCUAAUUCAUAAGGGCGAUGAUCAAAAUAUUAACUUCAAUUCCUAAUUCACAAGGGUAGUGACAAAAAUCAUCUCAAUUUCUAAUUCACAAGGACAUCAAAUAUAUUACUCUCAAUAGAAUUUUGUUACUCUCAAUAGAAUUCACAAAAUCAGUCCCAAAAUGAUCUGACAAUCCCAAUUCAAAAUUAUACAGUUAAUUCACAAAGGGCAAUGACCUGAAUAUUUUCAGUAGCAAAUUUUCAGUGACCAAAUCAAUUCCUAAUUCUCAAUAGCCAAUUCAAAGAAAUUUUUAGACCCAAUUCAAAGCAAUUUUCAGACUUAUUUUCAAUUCCUAAUUCUCAAUAAUUCUCAGAGCAAUUCAAAGCAAUUUUCAGACCCAUUUUCAAAGAAAUUAUAUCAAAAUUAUUUUAAUUUAAUGAUUAAGCCCUAAAAAAUCCUAACUAAAGAGAAAUUAGACAAUGGGGUGUACAUGUAUACUUGAGAAAUUGAUGGUGGCGCGAUGAUUGGAUCGCGACAAACUGGUGGUGGCCUUCUCGUGAGGCAGUGAGGUGGCCAGAGUCGGCAAAGUGGUGGCAGCAGCGCGAGGUGGUGGCACGAGGUACGAGAAGAUUACAGAAGCAGGGUGGUGAUUGAGGGGAGAGAGAGCGGAAUGGAGUGUGAGAUAAUGAGAGAGUGGAGAGUUGUGAGGAGAGAGAGCUACUGUAAGAAGAGAGAGAGAGAGGGAGAGAGUUAGGAAAAUAAUGAGGCGCCUGACACGAAAUGUG